rnacentral:rRNA from 1 species
ACUCCUACGGGAGGCAGCAGUGGGGAAUUUUGGACAAUGGGCGCAAGCCUGAUCCAGCAAUGCCGCGUGAGUGAAGAAGGCCUUCGGGUUGUAAAGCUCUUUUGUCAGGGAAGAAACGGUAGGGGCUAAUAUCCUUUGCUAAUGACGGUACCUGAAGAAUAAGCACCGGCUAACUACGUGCCAGCAGCCGCGGUAAUACGUAGGGUGCAAGCGUUAAUCGGAAUUACUGGGCGUAAAGCGUGCGCAGGCGGUUUUGUAAGUCUGUCGUGAAAGCCCCGGGCUCAACCUGGGAAUUGCGAUGGAGACUGCAAGGCUUGAAUCUGGCAGAGGGGGGUAGAAUUCCACGUGUAGCAGUGAAAUGCGUAGAGAUGUGGAGGAACACCGAUGGCGAAGGCAGCCCCCUGGGUCAAGAUUGACGCUCAUGCACGAAAGCGUGGGGAGCAAACAGGAUUAGAUACCCUGGUAGUCCACGCCCUAAACGAUGUCUACUAGUUGUCGGGUUUUAAUUAACUUGGUAACGCAGCUAACGCGUGAAGUAGACCGCCUGGGGAGUACGGUCGCAAGAUUAAAGCUCAAAGGAAUUGACGGGGACCCCCACAAGCGGUGGAGCAUGUGG